rnacentral:lncRNA from 1 species
UUCUUUCUGGUCUUGUGCCAGUUGAUGUGGCAGGGACGAAGCGAAGUGGAAAAGUAAUGGGCUAAUAGAAGGGAAGGUACGGUUAGGGACGGGACAGAUGGAAGCUGAGGCAGAUAUUGCAUCCUUUGCUUUGCCUUCUUUAAGAAUUCGUAGAAGCCUGUCAUCGGUAAAUCCCUCUUCCAUAGCAUCUUCAUUCUCGACGUCUUCUUUGGUAAAGAAAGGGGAUGUUUACCCAGGCGCCGUAGUCUUGCCUAAGAAUAUCGCUCUGUUCACUCCCAGCUGAAAUUCAAGCCAUCUUCAUGAAAAUGAAAAGAGACAGAGUUCUCAAGAAGCUCUCCCUUUCAUUCCAAAGCUCCGGUCAUGGAAAAAAAAGCUGUCAGUAGCCGGUUUAUCUUAAUAAAAACCGAUAGCGUACAAGUUCAAAGAGAGAGACCUCGAAAAAAGAAGAACUAAAGUAAAGGAGGCGCAAUUCAAUAUGCGUUGACAAGGCUCCUUUUUCCUUUUCUGCUCUCAUUUCAUCAAGUUCUACUUGGGGGGUUUUAUGGAUUUUCUUCGAAUUGCUGUCUUGCAGAAGACGCUAAGGGCUUAUGACUUGCUGCUUAAGGAGCUAAGUUUCCUAAAUAUGAAAGAUGAUGAGUCUAAGCUCCAUAAAAGAGGUAGGUUUGUCUAGCCCGCACCUUGCCCCUCGGCUUUCAAGGAUUAGAUAGAGGUGAUAAUAUCUCGACCCACGUAGCGGUGUAGAAGGAGAGGCUCAAUGCAAUAUGAGUUGCGAGACAGGUCCGAAGGACUAUCCACUAGGGAAUAAAGCGAGAGGAUAGAAGUGCUUCGAUCAUUCUUUGCCGCAAUAUUCUUUGUCACGCAAACAAUAUCCCUCAAUGUGGAAGGCAAUAUUCUUUGCGCCUCUGGACUGAUUUAUGGAACUCAAUCUUUCUGGGAGUCUGAAUGGCUAAGACGAUAAGGGAAGAAAAUCAAUGACCCACGGAGCGCGGAGGACGAGUCUCGCAAUAUUCUUUGCACCUGGGUAAGAAAAGAGAUGGAGCGCUAGAAUGGAAGAACUGAUCUUCUUCCUCCUCCUACACUGGGACUGAGCCCCGAACCCUCUCUCUUCCUCUAUAUAGGGGAAGGACUAGUCUGUAAAAUGCUAUUUUUCAUCGAUCAAUAUCCGAAGUAUUAGGCUCCAUAAGACAGGGAUAUUGUAAGAAGUAUGAAUAGCUAUUACUUUUCAGACAAAGUCGGACCUACAAGAUCCAGUCAAUUAAUACGGAGUGGGCUUGCUUUGGGCCUCAGUAGCUUAAUAUUCAGAUCCCCAUAUUCAUUAGGCGAAGGACUUCUUUAUCCAUUGAAUUUAGCCGACUCCCAUAAAUAAAGACAUAAUAUCGUCAGUCUUAUUCCCUUCUUUGAACCUCUUUUCUAGAUCGAGCUAUUUCUUGCCAGUCGCUUCUCAAAGAGCAAAAUCUCAAAUUCGCAAGUCAAAUUCUCUAAUGGAUAGGCCUUUGUUUUUCUAUGCGUCCUUUGCCUUUGGUUUGCGCUCUUAUAUUCACCUUUUAUUUGCCGCCUUGAUUCUCUUCUUUCUAAUGGAUAGUCCUUCGCAAAUUCUUUGCGCCUAACUCCGGCGCAUAUUGCGUGGGAAUUUUGCGUGAGAAUUUGAGAAAGAAUGAUCGUCAGCCCUUCGUUAAUUACGGAAAGUCCUACUUCGGUUAAUUACGGAUAGUCCUACUUCCAUAUGGAUAGUCCUACGGAUAAGAAUCCUCCGGACUCCGGACCCUGGACCUUUCUUUGAUGGCGCAAAGAAUUUGCGAAAGGAGUCUUAUUCCACUAAAAAACGAUAGAGGAGGGGUCGGAUCGGGGGAAUCCGUGGGGGUUGCGGUGGCAGCUGAAAAGGAAUCAAUCGUCCCAGGAGCAGUCGCGGAGGCGGAAAUGCUCUACUCCCACGGAGCGCUAGCCCUUGGCUGAUCAGUCAUCGGAUAAAUUCCCAAAACCCACGUAGCGGUAAUUACAGAAGUCAAUUCUCAUUAUUUCUUCCGUAUAGAAAAAACCUGAGAAGUUCACCCUUUCUACCAUCCCAUCCCGACUUCCUUCUUUGUGCAUUCAUGGGUGAGGCAUUCGGCUUUUGAAUCUGGAAUCAUUUCUCAUUCGCAGUCUGAUGAAAAGAAAGAAAUGAGGACCUCUACCUCUACUCCUUUUCCUGCCAUAAAAGAUAGGGGUAGGUAGGUCAAUUCGACCCCAGCCCCGCAGCUUUCAGGUCCUUGGUGCUCGAACCAGGCGGGCAACUUACUCUUUUUCUGUGGAUACUUCCGAACAUUAUAAGGAAAACGGAGCGGUGGAAUAAAGAGGUCAAAAGGACGGGAGCGUGAAUACGGAUGAAAUGGGACGUAAGAAGUCGAGCGAGUGACGGGGAAAUGGGACAUCAAUCUUGAGAAGAACCUCUAGGUCAAGGACAGCACUGGGCCGCACCGCCUCAAUGAACAAAGGGAAGAGUGCCGAUCCCGGAGUAGGAGUCUGAAAGAAGGCUUGGCCUGAGUGAAUUCUUCAUUCUCUCUUUCUCUUCGAGGAAGAAAUCUCUUGAUUUUAUUAUCCCACCGUCUGUAGCGUAGUGGGGAAAGUUCUCAGUCUCCGUUGAUACUCUGCCAGACCUUUACCGGCCGACUACAAGGCUGAAUAUGGCAAUUAUAAGGGGUCCAGAUGGUCAAAGCCCUCAAUAAUAAGGGAUAGCUCUGACUUUGAAAACAAAGAAGGACUAUUCCUCAAAUUCUUUGAGCCUAAAGAUGAACGGAAAAUCUUCUAAUGGAUAGGACUGAGGCGCAAUGAAAUAUGCCUUGAUUGAGAGCUUGAUUUUUCUUGUGUCUUUGUUUUGGAUGAGAAAUCUCUCAAAUACUUUGAGCCUUGGAAUGAGCAUUUCAGAGCUUACCGAUCAGACCCUACUACUGAUCCGAGUUGGCUACUACUUCCUUUUCUUCAACAAGGGAUGAGAUGAGGCUUAUCUUAUUCGAACUUCAAGUAGGUACUUCUGGAUCUUCCAAGUAUGCCUAUUUCCUGAGAGUGAGCUUGCGCAAGUAAUCCCCCUUUUUCUUACUCUCAGAACCCCAAAUCUUUUCGUACUUCCCCCUGAGGUCCCAGCUCCAACUCUUCUUCUCGCUUUAGGAAUUCAAAUUCUUCUUGAAUGAUCUCUUUCGUAAAGCUAUUUUUCUAUGGUAAAUUCACUCUUUAGCCGAUGACGCGGGAGAACACGGGUUCACUGGGGUGGAUAGAAUACGACCCGAGCGUCGGACCGAGACAGGAGGACCCAUUACCAGUUGAGGAAUUCAGUCGAGAUCGAGACCGUGCGGAGCCUUCCACUGGGACGUUCUCCUUUGUUUACGUGAAAACCUUUCCAGAUGAGCAUACGACCCAACUUCCCCGUAUGAGGAGGACUUGGUCCGUCCCUUUCUUCUUAGUAGUACUUUGACUUCUUCCCCGCGUAGAGGAGGAGCGAGCUCCCUCCCUUUCCUGGGAUUUAGAUGAAAGCAUCCCAAUGAGAGAAUAGAUUAUUCAACCCUACAGCGUCUGGGACAAGAAGGCGAACUACUUCUUUCUCUCUCUCUCUCCUUUCCUGAAGAUGAAAUAAGAUUCUGAUAAUAUAAGUCGAAAGGGAAAGAGAUCAUUCAAGAUCGAAUGAAAGAAGAUAAGUGAAUAAAGCUCUUUCUCUUGUUCCGCUCCUUACUUCUUCUUCUUUUUCAUACUCUUUUCAAUCAUAAGGCUGCCUCUUUCUCCUGAACUCCGUCUCCUAGGCUUUCUCUUUCUUUCUCUAUUUCGAAGAAUCUUUUCAAUCAUCAAAAUCAAAAGGCUGAACAUUGAGGUCUUCGCCCUUUAGGCAGUUCGCCCAGCACAGCAGUCGCAGCUCUUUCUCUUUCAAGAAGUUUGAGACUGAGAUUCUGAACGAGUAGGAUGAAAUAGCAGGCACAAAGGCCCCACCAAGAAGAAAGUCCUCCCCUUCUUAUGGUGGCUCUAGCAAAUAGUCAGCGAAGAAGCUUCCAAAUAGUAAGCUGUCGAGUAAGAGGGAGUCGAAAAGAAGCGCGAACUCCAGUGAUUAGGGUAGAGUCUCAUCCCCCCAUAAUCAAGUAGCGUCCACUAAAAAGGAGCGGAGCGCGGAAGGACGAGGCGCAAUGAAAUAUGCGAGGAUGAGGCAUCAUCGUAUAAGAGGGAGCAAAGGAUCUCCGUGAAGCUGCUCGAGGAGAGGAAUGAAAUGGCGAGACUGAAAGGAGAGGCAUCCCUUUCUCUUGCACCAGUGGUUGUCCCAGUUCUUCUUUAAGCUGUAGCCGGCUGUGGUUCUUCCGGUUGAGGAAGUAGCUCUCGCUCUUCCAGUCUCGGAUAUUAUUCUAUUUUCAUAUUGUAUAUUCAAAAAUAUUCCCAAUUAGAGUAGAUUGGGUGCAGCGAUCCCGGGAAUGAGUCGGACUAGCCUACAUAAAGCGCUUUUCUCACUAUAUAUGUCUCGACUCUUUUGUAUCGCUUAUUCAGGAGACUGAGUCAGAAAGGGAAGAAGCAGAGAAAGAUCAAGCUUUCCCGAUAGGGGAGAGUAGUUAUGAUCCGGGGUCUUUCCUUAAAAAGGUAUUCUAGAAUAAGAGUUUGUUAGCAUCUCUCCAUUCUCAUUGUCUGAGUAUGAUAAGUUUCUCUUUCAUGAGAAGGAGACUGAGAAGGCUUCGGGUCUGUCUUUCGCCUCUUUAGAUAUUAUGUCAACUUCUCUUCUGCUUUUCGCACCGAUAAGUCAAGUCCUCUCUCUCCCCUCUUACUCAACUUCGUAAACCUAGUCUCUAUGCACUUGCACUCCUUCGCAAUAUUCUUUGCGCCUCAUCAUCAAAAGAGAAAGUGCUCUCGCAAUAUUCUUUGCGCCUCCAGGACGUCCUCUGGACUAUCAACCUAUUACUUUGAACUUUUAUCCCUCUCAUAACAUAAAUAGUGGGACUUAUCCAGCCUGAGGAGGGCAGAAUCAAGGCUCCAUAAGACAGGGAUAUUGUAUGAGUUCUAUACAAAAAAUAGGCGAAGAAGAAUUGCGAGGUCCGUAAAUCAUCUGAGAAUCCCGGUAAUUUUGGGGGAGGUGAAAAGAAGAAAAGAGUCCAAUAAGAGACCGCGGCUUGGGAACUCAUUCCCGAAGAUAAGCAAGAACUUCUCCUCCUCCUCCAAGACUGAAAUUCCAAGAGCCACUUCUCCCUCUUCUGAUGACGCAUACCACCGGUGUCUCGAUUUCUUUGAUGAGUGGAAGGACGACAGGUUAAGCUUGAUAAAGAAGUCAUCUGGACCGCUCCAACUAACCUCUGCGGUCAGUCCUUCGGACCAGCUGACUAUCCCUAAAAUAGUAAGGAGUCUUAUGGCGCUCGUCUUGAGCCUGAAUUAUCGAAAAGACUUCUGCAGAGAGCCAAGAAUUUGCGAGCAGCAUAAGGAAUAAGGAGUCGAUCAAAUUAAGGCUUCGGACCGCGGAAGGACGAGUCUGAUUCCAAAAAAGACUUCUGCAGACGUUAGGAUCAAUGAAAUUUGAGAGAGGCGCAAAGAAUAUUGCUCAGGCUCGCCUAAAUUUGAAGUGGAAGGCAAUAUAAUUCAGGCUGAGGAUCAAAGAACAAGAGCGGGAAGAACUGGAUAUUGUAGGAGUUGACGGCUCGACUGUAAGGCUAAAUGUGGGGCGCAGUUGCGCAAUAUUGCGAGAAGUCUUUAUAUAUUGAUUAGCCUACUUUUCUGGAUUGGGACAUGAAUAAAUUAGAAUCCAAGGAUUGAUCGAACCUCGACGCAAAUUCUUUGCGCUAGUGCGAAUGAAAAAAAAUUCAGGCUAUAGGCGAGAUAGAAAAAUGACCCAGGGCGCGCCUUCUUCAAUGAAACUGGGUGGGGACCCGCGUGAGCCUAAUGCUCUUUAUUGGGCCGAUUCCCCGCUUGGAUCAGACAAGGGCGGGGGUAGAAGUUUGACCUUUGGAUCCGCAGUCAAGGAUCCCUCUUUCUAAAAGUAUGUCAAGAGCAUACUUGAGCUGAGAAAGAGAGAGACCAUGCGAUGAUUGAUCUACUGAAAUGCCAAGCCUUAUCUCAGUCUCCAGAACUCCACAGGAAAAUAGCAAGACGGGGGUUAGAAUUACCCAGUUCAUAUCCACUCCUUGCUAAGAGUUUAGUCUUCUUUCUCCCCGCAAGCCCGUUGAAUCAUGACUUCCUUAAUGCCUUUAUACCCUCGUAUGAGAAAAAAAACCUAGCCUGAAAGUGAGAGAUGGAAUUCAUUCUAUAUAUUCUUUGCACCUUCGCAAUAUUCUUUGCGCCUUUCUUUUAUCCAGCGGAGCCUUUCAACAAGCACUUGAUCCCGUAUUUAUCCUACGCGUAGCGGUGAAAGCUCAAAUUGCAUUGAGCCUGUGAAAAGUCAAGAAAAAAAGAAAAGAAUAAUUAACUCAUUAACGAUAAUGAAAGAAGCUCAAAACAAAAUGAAUCUGCUAGAUUUCAGAUUAAUCUGCUAGAUUUCAGACUAGUCCUUCGCGGAGGGAAAUACAAGAAAAUGCUAGGUUUUGGGCCUAUAAAGUAGCAAGAAAUCAUGAAAAAUCCGUCAAAAUUAGACAAUUAUCGUUAGAUAUAUAUAUGAGAAAAAGUCCUAUUUAGAAGCAAAAAAGCCGGGAAAACGCAAUGAAAGAAGAACUCCUAGGACAGGUAAAAUCAAUGAACAGAGUUUGAUUAUGGUUUCUGGUCCGGAGAAAUACGGGUCUAUUCUGGAUUUCCCUCCAGGUUAUGGGUGAUUCAAUCAUAAUGAUUCUUUCAUUCGAGUUAAUGAGCUUCUUUCUUUGCGCCUGCGCCUGGACCAAAGGUUAAUAUGGAUGGAUAGUCCUACUUCCUUCCAUAUGGAUGGUCCUACUUCGGUUAAUUACGGAUGGUCCUACGGAUAAAUCACCUGGACCUUUCUUUGGCCCUGCGGACUGCGGACGUAGGACUACUUCGGUUAAUUACGGAUGGUCCUACGGAUAAAUCACCUGGACCUUUCUUUGGCCCUGCGGACUGCGGACCCUGGACCUUUCUUUGGCACUCCGGACUGGAUCUUGUAGGUCAUUCUGACCCGAAAAGAAAAGUAGUGCUUUGAAAGGUAGGGAAGGUUACCCCACGUAGCGGUAAGGGCGCAGCAAAGGUUCUUUCCGGAGAUGGCCCUUUAUUCUGGCCCACGGAGCGGUUGUGCAUGAAGCAAGAGAUCUUGGAAGUAGCUUUCUUGCAAAGCGAUUAUGAGAAAUUCAUAAUGAGGUCUUGACUUUCAAGAGUCUUAAAGGUAACUUCAUAAAGAGUGCUCUUUCAGUUGACUCUUUCUGUCUAUAAAGCUCUUCUUCUUAUUAGUUUCGCGGGAGAGAGAGGAUGAGGGGUGCCCGAGGAAGAAAUGCUAUCCCAAAGGGCAGAGUACGUUGAUGUCCCCGUUCUUGUUUAAGAGGUGGCCUCAUCCGUUGAUCAGUAGGGCAUUUCUUUCCUUAGAUCUCUUUCGUAAGACCUCAUGAAAGGAUUAUUUAUUCAUUGUCGUCUGAUCGAAAGAUGUCAAUGUGCUUGCCCAUUUUAUGAAGAAAUACACCAGCCUCAGAUCUCGCCCAUGGAUUGAUGAAAGCCAAAAGGCCCUUUAUUGUAUUGUACAUCUUUCACGCAAGGAGACGUAAGAAGUCGACCGCCUACUCAUUUGGAAGAAGAAGAAAGACAAAAGAAGAAUGAGUCCUCCGGAAGGAAGGCUCGACCGUCGGAGGGAAGAGGGCUGCCAGAGAUGAGUAUGAGUCAUCCCUUGCUUUAGUUGAAAGAGCUAAAGUAGCAGUCCUUUCUUAUACCUUUCAUCUCGUGAAUGCACUCAAUUAAGGAUGAAAAAAUCUCGUCAAUUCUCAUUCCAUGAAGGACGACAAGAAAGUAGACUCGCCACGGGGCGCCGAAUCAGGCAAAUAGCCCUUAUCUCUCUUUAUGUCCCACUCGAGAAGACCUUUUCUUGCAGGUCCAAAUUAUGACAUUCUACCUCGAAAAGUGGUUAGGGCUUAGAAAGUAUCAAACUAGAAAAGGAUGCCCCAUGGACGCGAUUUCUUCCAUUCAGCCUAUGGUCUUUUCUCACUAAAAUGUCCAUUGGGUCUUCGCCAAAAACCUGCAUUGAAAAAGGAUGCAAACCAAGGUCAAUAUUCUUUGAACCUUUGAACCCAUGAAUUCACAUGAAAAGGAGUCCCAGAAAAGUGAAGGAAAAGAAAGAGGUUAAUAUGGUAGAUUGAAGACGGGUCAGAAUCAGGAGAUCUCGGACUUAAGGAAGACGGAGCGGUAGGCCUACUUUGAGGGAUCGACCCAGGAGAGGCAUAGGAGUUCAGCGGAUUGCCCAGAGUCUGAGGAGAGACCAGGUGCAGUCUAAUGGAUAGGACUGAGGCGCAUCAAAAAAAAGGUUGAAGAUGACCUUGAUUUUUCAUUGAGGCCGUUCUUCUCCUUGCAGUAGCUUUGAUUCUUUCAAGAGUUGAGGAUCAAAGAAGAUUGAUAAGUAUAUAGGGAUAAGCUAAGCAUUGAGCUAGAGAUCGUAAGACCCAGGCGAAUAGCGAGGCAGAAGGGAUUGUGAUGUCUGAGCUUCUUUCUUACCAUAAAUUAAGAACCUUGAAUGAGGCCGACGGAAAGAGAUCGUCCGAGAGGUUCAAAGAAUAUUGACUUGUUCAUUGAGGCGAUAACCACAAGAGCAAACUCUUGAUAUGAGUUUGAAGAGAUGAAUAUAAGGAAGGAAGCUAGACAAGAGCAUCUAAAUAGGUUUUCUUGAAAUAGGAUCUAAAGGUGCGAAUAGACCAAUAAGGAUCGAGGGGUUGUCCGGCGGAGACAGAAGUCUCCUUCUUCACUCUCGGUCUAUGAAAUGAAAUUGGUUAUACCGCUCUGCUUCUUUGCUUCCUCAUCAAGAUAUGAAUAAUAAGAGGAGUCUUCUUCUGAGAAGUCCGAUCCACUGAGACCCCUUAAGUACUGCUUCCCUUCAAGAAAGAACUCGUUGAGACGAGGUCCAUUCGACGGAGAACAAAGUCCCUCCCUUUUGGCAUACUUGAUGGACCCAGCGGCAUAUCGGGGAAUGGCUCACAAGCAAUGAAUGAGUGGGGGGCGUAGGAUACUCGUUGGGGACUCCCAACAGCACUAUUAGCUGUCUAGCGGAGAAUCUGUUGAGCUUUUGGAAGGAGCGGAGCAUAAGAAGGGGAGGACUUUGAUUCCAUAGUUUUCUUAGAGGCGUAGGAGGACGCUUAUUCCUUUUCUAGAACCUUCUAGAACCUACUAUUUGGAGGCGAAGGACUUCGCACAAUAUUCUUUGCUCCUAAGUCUGCUUUGAAAAGGAAAAAAAGAGUAUUCAUCCUUUCUCUACUUCUACUUUGAGCCUGAAUUUCCCCGUCCUCAGUCGCAGGUUAAUAUGGAUAGUCCUUCGGACGGAAUCAAAAAUCGCAAUAUUCUUUGCACCUUUGUUUUUUCCUUCCGCGGUUCAAGACGCCUCAUUAAUAUGGAUAAAAACAAGUCCUCCUACUCGUUCAAGUUCCACGCAAUAUUCUUUGCUCCUUGCUAAAAGAAAGAAUCUCAUCUUCUCAUAUUUCAUUGACCGUUAGGCUCUCGCAAUAUUCUUUGCGCCUCAAUCGCAUCGCAAAUUCUUUGCGCCUCCGCUCAAAUUCCCUAAUGGAUAGUCAUCUGGACCCCUUAUAAUUGGGGGCCAUAGAUCUUUGCGCCUCUCAUCAAAUCCCCUAAUGGAUAGUCCUUCGGACCUGUCUUAUGGGGCCUCCGUAGCUUAAUAUGAUUUGCGAAAAUUUGAUGCGUCUUUUCCGCUUCGAAUAUGAAUUCAUCCUGAGAGCAGAACAAUUGACAAGGUUUGCUGCGGAGUUAGAGUUCUUCUUUUCUCAUGCAAGCUUGUAAAUGAUAGGUCUAAUUACUAUCCGCAUCUCUACCCGUAUUACCGGAAUCUAAAUCAAAUGGGUCUUGUCCUACGGUCGGUCUGUGUUGGAUUGAGCUCAAGUUCACUUCUUUUACCUUUCGUUUUCUACCUGAAAAUGCUCUACUUAGAAAAAAAGAGAAAUUCUGAUGUUCAAUUUGGAGGUUCUUCAAUCUAUGAAAAGAGAUGCUAAGAAAGAAUUCAAGAAAGUCCAUUACUGGUGAUCUCGUCUUGCUUGCUGGGAGAGAGGACGGACCACCUUUUGAAGGCAGAUAGCGAGCGAUCACUCAGCAAUUCAGACUAAAAGCGGCCGAGAAUUAGUACCUAUCCCUUACGGGAAUCGAACCCGUGUCUUCGACAUGAAAAGACGAUGUCCUAACCACUGGACGAAAGGGACCAAAAAGCCAUUCUUCAUAUACCUAGUAGUGGGAUCCGAGAAUAGAAGUCCUUCCUUUGAUUGAUAUACGCAAUUCGACGAUUUCCUUUGUCUGAAUCUUGGCGAUUUCUGAUUCAGCGGGUCCUCCCCCCUUCCCCCACCGAUGAGACAGCAACCACGCCCCCUUCGUAAACUCACUCGACUCAAUUACGAAAGAAAUAAGAAGAUAUUAAUAGAUAUAAGAAGAUAAGAAAGCUCUGAUGAUGCGUCUUUCUGUACUCUUCGGGAAGCCCAUAAAUUAUGAAUCUUUGCGAAUGAAAGACUAUUACAAUCAAUGAUUGAGGGAGCGGAAAGAAAGGCUCCACUAAAGAAGGGCAGAGGAAGACUGAGAGUUAGUAUGAUGAAAGAGGUUAUCAGCUGCUAUCCGGUUAGGAGGGAAGGAAUUGAAGACGAAUCGAGGAUUUGAGACAGAGGUUAGAACGACCUACAGGAAAGGAUCGGGUAUUUCAUUCAUAGAGCUUUUAGGGGUCAAGACGAUCUAUCAUUCCCCAACUCCUAUCCUUAUAUGAGAGUCACUCAAAUUCUGAUCGCCAUUCUCUUCUUUGUUCUCUCUUUCCUUGAUUGAGUCUUCCACGCAAUCUAUCUAUCCUGUAUCGGGAAGGUUGGAAUAUGCUCUCCUCUUCUUCCUACAUUUCCUGAAUAACUUCAAGGCGUCACCGAUCGGGGACUUCGACUGCCUUGUAUCAGGUUCAGAGAAGGGGUGGUAGGCUUAGUAGGGCUCGAACCUAGAAUAUCACCCUUAUGAGCGGUACCUUGAAAGCAAUGAAACUAUAAGCCCGAUCUCUACAUGCAAUUCGCUCACUUCGGGAAGAGGAAAGAGGAGAGGUGCAAAGAAUAUUGCGAGGCGCCAUAAGACAGGUCCGAAGGACAGACAGGCGCAUUGAAUAGAUUAUGCUGAAGGCUAGGCGCAAAGUUCGGUUAAUUACGGAAAGUCCUCCGGACUACUUCGGUUAAUUACGGAUGGUCCUACUUCUGUUAAUUACGGAUGGUCCUACGGAUAAAUCCUCCGGACUACUUCCCUCCAUAUGGAUGGUCCUACGGAUAAAUCCUCCGGACUACGGAUAAAUCCUGCGGACUCCGGACCCUGGACCUUUCUUUGAUGGAGGUGAAAAGAAUAUUGACAAAGAAUAUUGCGAGGUUCAUACUAUUACUUUAAAUAGUGGGACUGAUUUUGAUCCAUAUUCCUGAGGGAGCGGUACUACUUUCUUUUUUUGUGCCCGGUCCAACUAGGAGGGAUGGAACUCAUGCCUCCCGCGGUCGAGCUAGCUUGUUCUCGCUGCUCUCUUUUCUUUAUAGAAAAGCAUAAAAGCUUCAUCUUUGAUUUGUGUGAGGUAAAAGGGGUUCUUCUUGAACGAGAUUUGUUCGUAAAUCUCUACUAUAGAGAAAGGAAAAAAGGAGUAAGUCCGCUGAUUUUACGUGAUUUCUUCCAUCUUGCCUAUGGCGGAAAAGAGCUUAUUAAGGGCGAAAGCAAAGAACCGUGCUCUAGGCGCAGGAUCUGGGAUGUCACAAAGCGACUGUAAACAACCGCCGCUACACAAGGGGAGGAGUCUUUGCAGCUUAGUUGGGUUAAGUUAAGUCGCCAAAUUCUCAAUUCUUCAUUUCCCUUGUAACAAAAAGUAGCCGCCAUUGCAGGAGCCGUUUCAGGAGUCGCUGCAGGCGCUCUUCGUCUUCUAGUUUCAGCUUUUGUUGAAGUAGCCCUUGUUCGAUCGAUCGAAAAGGCUAGAUCUCUGUCCCAUAUUUCCAAGGCUAAAAGAAAAGGCUGAUUCAAGGUCGUAGCAGUGAGAAAAAAAGACUUUUGACUCGUCCGAAGGACUUGUUUAUCCAAUUAUAAGGAAGACGGAGCGGUUCCAUCCAUAACAAGGUGAACCAACAAAGGAGUCCGUCGCUGAGGAGGUCGGAAAGUGAAGGGCACCACGGUCUGGUCCCAGACCGAUUCAGUGGAAGUUGCUUUGUUGAAAAGCGAUUAUGAAUAUUCUUGUAUAUAAAGACGUAAGAGAAAGAAAGGUGCGAAGCAAAAAGAAAGUGAAGGAAGACGUAGCGGUAGACUAAGAAAGUAGUACAAUACAAGAAGGGACAAAGGCCCCAUAAGAAGAAAGAGGGAUGGGAUCGCGCACGCCCACUACGCGGGGGAAUAGGUUUCAUAGUCCUCCGGAAUUAUUAAGGAGAAGGACGCUCGCAAUAUGGGCCUCCUACGCUUAAUAUGGCAAAGAAUAUUGCGUUUUGGAUAGCUCUGAUUUUGGUUUUCGUCCUUCGUCCUCUCAAAUUCUUUCUCAAUAUUCUUUCUCAAUAUUCUUUGCACCUCUCCUCCAUCUCAGUCGAGCCGCUAAUUUGUAAUUCAACUCCGUUAGGUCCUCCGGACUAUCCAUAUUAACCCAGAUUUCAGACUCCGCACUCAACGCAUAUUUCAUUGCGCAUCUGGACCCCUUAUAAUUGGGCCAUAGAUCUUUGCUCCUCGCAAUAUUCUUUUUUUCUGUCUUGUAAAUCAUCAAAAUCUUAUAAGAAGAGAGACCAAAAAAAAGGGAAGGAAGAUGAAGGAUCCGCGGAACUGAAUGAAGAAGAAUUAGUACGGGUCUGGAGCUGCCAAGCUAUUAUUUGAAAAAUAUAGAGUAGAUUAUGAGUACCCUCAUGGCUUGAAAACAAGCUUCGGUUGGGAGUCUGACUUGGAAUUAGAAGUUUCCCGAAGCGAGAGAGAGAGAGUUUACUUCGGAAUUCUCAGAAGAAUGAGUAAGAGAAAGAGGAAUUCCACCCUAGCCUCAAGCCUGAAUUUAUGUGGGAUCAGAUUCUGAUAAUAAAGAAGAAAGCUCAGAGGAUCGUCUAAUGAGUCAGAUCGGCUAUCUAUGAUAUAGGAGGAGGGUAGCUUGGAGACAAAGACCAUAAUAAACUGAGUUGGAGUUGACUCGCGGUGUGAAUAGACUGUAUCAGCAGAAGUCUCGGAAGAGGAAUGAGUUGGAGAAGAAAGAAUGAACUCCAUAAUCUCGUAUUAUAAUAAGAAGAAAGAAUCUCUUAUCAUAUUAGCUUUCUCUCUUUCAUUCAUAGUCAGCUCUCCCGGAUUCAGUCUCAUAACUCUGAUUAUUAGUGGGGGAGUCGGCCUUGGGGAGGUUCAAAGAAUAUUGACGGAGCGGUCUCGUAGACAAGGUAUGAAUGAGAACGAGAAGGAGAAUCAAGUCUCACGGAAAGCUUAUCGACAAAUCUGCCUAUUUUUGGGGUGCACGAGGCUCAAAGAAUUUGAGAGAACUCGAAGCCUGCUCGUAGAAUACGGCUAGGCACAGACUCUCCAAAGAAGGCUACUAGGAUCAGACUUGCUUGGGACCGGACCAGAGUGACCGGACGACCAGAAAUUCUUUUCUUUCAUCUUCGUAUAAGGUAAUUAUCUCUUUCUACAUCAGAAGUAGGGGACCAGGGAAUUCCCAGUCGACCGAGUUCUCUCUAAUGGAUAGGGUCGACGAGAGAAAUAAGGUGAUGAAUCAGUCGAGUCAAAUCAGAGACGAUCGCAGUCUUCUUAUCUACUUAGUUUCGGAAUGCAGUAGGAAGACGGGAAGAGGUUUGAGUAUUGAAUAGUUUCCGGGAGAGAGAAGAAGCAAUCUCACACUCAGUUUCAGAAGAGUCAGUGGCAGCCGCUGUGGCAGUUGCUAACCCAAGUGGAUAGUCUUGUGCCGCUAUUAUAGAAGAAGACUGAGAAUGAUCUCUUUCCCGAAGAGGGAACUAUCACAAAGCAAAUAUCUCAAUUCUAAGCAUUCUCAA